UGGAGAGUUUGAUCCUGGCUCAGGACGAACGCUGGCGGCGUGCUUAACACAUGCAAGUCGAGCGGAAAGGCCCUUUCGGGGGUACUCGAGCGGCGAACGGGUGAGUAACACGUGAGUAAUCUGCCCUUCACUUGGGGAUAACUACCGGAAACGGUGGCUAAUACCCGAUACGACCAACCUGCGCAUGUGGUGUUGGUGGAAAGUUUUUUCGGUGGAGGAUGUGCUCGCGGCCUAUCAGCUUGUUGGUGGGGUAAUGGCCUACCAAGGCUUCGACGGGUAGCCGGCCUGAGAGGGUGACCGGCCACACUGGGACUGAGACACGGCCCAGACUCCUACGGGAGGCAGCAGUGGGGAAUAUUGGACAAUGGGCGGAAGCCUGAUCCAGCAACGCCGCGUGAGGGAUGACGGCCUUCGGGUUGUAAACCUCUUUCAGUACCGACGAAGCGCAAGUGACGGUAGGUACAGAAGAAGCACCGGCCAACUACGUGCCAGCAGCCGCGGUA
rnacentral:rRNA from 1 species